rnacentral:lncRNA from 1 species
UCCUGGGCCCGUCCUCAUCCGGACUCUCAUCCAGUGCCCCUGAACUCUCAUCCGGAGGAGCUCCUAGCAGGGACCCUUAUCUGGCCAAGGCGAGCAAUUGUCGCUCCUCCCACGGUCGCGCCCGCGUGCACGCCAGGUACGCACCAUCUUCCUCCUCCGCGUAGUGAUGACGCCCACCAUUGAUCCCGUACAAGGCCCCAUUCACGCCGCCAGCCCGUUCGUAGAUCAAUGCCAGUUGCGACCCCCGAUGACGGGCCCAACAAUUCCUUACAGAUCUUUCUGCACGGAUGCUUUACCCCCACACGACUCGCACCCCUGUAAAUCAGCGGAUGCUGCGGCUUGCUCCUGCACAGCUCGCAAAUCUGCACGCCGACGGAAGCGGCGGCGCAGUCCCGCACAGCUCGUGACUCCGCACGGCGCGUAGCCCCGCACACGAGAGGAUGCAGGCACCGUAUGGUUUUGUCAUUUUUAGAUACGUACUUUUUUUACUUCCUAAACGUGACCUAUAUCUUUUUUUUAAUUAAGGAUCUUAAACAUUCACAUGUGAAUGUCAACGGUCACAAAGAAACAAAUCCGGCUACUUAGCCAUAAGAUGCAUGAAUACUUCGACUCCACACCUUAAAAUGAGGAACAAACAAAAUAAGAAAAGACUAAAAAGGAAGCUAGAAUGACUAAGCUUCAAACUUCUUCUAUGUCCUUGCUUCAGCCUUGCAUUGGGCCAUGUGCAGCAACUAAUCCCCUCACAUCUGCUAUUUUCUUAUAAACUUCAGAAGUUAGGAUCAUCCUGCUUCGACGGCCACCUGCUUCCUGGUGCUCUUUAGUCACAUAGAAGCUGCACUUAGUCAAUCUCUACCAUACACUCUAGUAACCCAAACAAGUGCACUGGAACAACCCGUGCACUACCAUCCCUCCAAGCUGAUCUGGUACCGCCACCAAAAGACUCCAAAAUGGUGCCUCAAGAGGAAAGCAACGCUAAGACGCCACCGCCUCCUGAACCUGCGAGUUGGUUCUUCGGUUUUCACCUGUAAAAUGUCCCUGGAGGUCAAGAUCACCGCAACGCCUUCAACAAGGAGAAUGAUGCAUCAUCGCCAACACUAGUCAUGGCUUUGGUCUGAGAACCUAGACACUCUAACAACCCAAAGGCAGAUGGCUAAUGCCAUGUCCGAUCCACCUCGGGUCCCCAUGCGCCCUUGCCAGCUGCCGCCACCUCCAUGGAGCCGAGCAGCUUCCGCAAGGAGCCGGCAUGAACCACGGUCGGGCGGAUCCACCCACAGGGCACCAGAAUCAGCCGAGCGGAAUUGCAUCUGUCGCCCAAGAAACUGGCUGCCCGCUCGAGCCGAGCGAUUCUCGCUCAAAGCUAGCGGCCGAGUCGCCGUUUGGUAGCACCCCUCCCAAUUCUUGCAGAGUGGAGGGCUGCUAAACACGACCAUACUCCGAACAUCAUGUUCAUCAGCUCCGGAAAAGAUAUGGGGAUCUUGAGGAACAAAUUUGACACAUCGAGCAACCAAAACUUACUAUUAAGGAAGAGCAAAGUGGCAACUCAAACCAUUCUUUAUUCGUCUUGCUACACAAAGCGAGGGAUCACAUCACACAUUUAUUCAUCAGUUGAGCUUCAGUCACCAUGAACAGUCCAACGCAUGCACCAUGUAAUCGUGCCGCUAGUGAGUGAUGAAGUAGAACUUGGUGCAGCUGGUGUCCAUGUAAACCAGCAGGUCGCUGAACCUAAGGUUGAAAGAGGGAACGGGGAAAUUCCCGUACCAACCGACACCGAAUACCGAAAUUUCCAAUAGGAUAUCAUUUUCACAGGAAAAAACGGAUUCGGGAAGAAAUCCGGGAAAAUACGGUGAAUCCAGGAUCAAAAUCGGUUAGGGUGUUUUCCAGACCGAAUUAGCGGAUCCCGUAUUUGCUCAGGAAAUUUCCUACUGGAAAUUCCCGUUUUAAGGCCUCCCUAGCUUCCCUGCCUGCAGUCUGCCCACAAAUAGCCCAGCCCACCCCGACAAAACCCCAUGCCGCGCCGCCCACUCGUCCAGGCAAAAGAAUCGGCAAACCCUAGUCCCUACCACCCUCCCUGAAUCGGCACUUCGGCGGCUCCUUACCGCCGCCCUCUGCCCCUCCCUAAAUCAGCAGUCGGUGGCUCGGCGCCCUCCCUACCAUCGCCCGCCGCAAUCCUCUUCCUCUCCCAGUCUCCCUCUCAACUCCCAAGCCAUCGACAUCAAGCUCUUGCAUGACUGUGCCUCUCCUCUCCUAGGCUCCUGGCCUCUGUCCUGGUGCAGCCGUGCGGUGCCUUGGCUAGCCGGUGGCCACCGCCACCCACCGCCCACCACCAGGCCACAAGCCCAUGAUAGAUCCAUGACUUGGGGGCCUAGGGAGGUAGGUUGGAUGCCAAGAUGAAGCCAUCACCAACUGAGCAAGCUUCUGGUUCUGCAUCCGCCUCAUCCGCCUCCAAGCGCCGCCUCUUCCUGGAGCCACCCCCGCCGGUGAACAGCAGCACCCUCGCGCCUUUUCCAACGCCAGGUAAAGAUGUGUGAAACUGUGAAUUAGUGUAUCUGUGUAUGUUUCAUUUAUUGGCAAAGAUGUUAGAUGUGUGAAUCACUACAUGGGAUUGCUUGUUGUUAGGGAUGAAACUAAUAGAUGAAUAUUGUCCCCUUGUGUUUUAUUGCUUGUGUGUUAGAUGAAACUAUCAAACUAAUAGAUGCAUGAGUAAAAGUAGUUGAGUAAGGUCCAAUUGCUACUGUCAUUUUGAUGUCUUCUAUUCUUGUCUUGGUAGGAUCUAAGAGGUCAAGUGAAAGCCUUGGUAAAGAUCUUGUUAUAUGUCUAUCUGUAUCAUCUGCAAGUGCAACUCCUGCAUCUAGUCCAAGUCAAGCUUUGAUAUGCAUGAAAGAUUGGGUUGCUGCAGGAAGAAGAGGUUAGAAAAGCAUCUUAGUUUUAGUUGUAUAAUAUUAUAUCAUAAUCAUGUUUGCUGAUAUAUGAGUCUUGCCUUACUUUGAAUUUCAGAUCAGAAGAUUGGUUGGUGAUCUUGAAGUUAUUGAGGCCCUUGCUUCAAAAUUGAACAUUGAAGUAAUUUUGCUACAUAGUUUGUUACUGUAACACACUAACACUGAUGCCUCCUAUUUUUUGUAGGACGGCGAUGUCACGGAUAGCGAUGACGAAGUAGAUGGACCACAUGGAGAUGAUCUGGGCUUCUUUGACAUGUAGUGUUGGCAGCUGGGCAUGUUUUAUUUUUAAUUUGGACUUGUAUUUGUGAGUUGAGUGUUGGAUCAGUAGUGUGGUUGCCUUGCCUCAUUGCCUGUGAACUGUGAUGUACUGUUGUGACUUGUGUGUUAUGUGGCUCAGUGGCUAUGUGAUGUACUGUUAUUUUGUGUUGGCGUGUUGCUGUCAACCUGUCAUUCUGUCAAGCACUCAAGCUGUGGUGUGGAUAUGUUGUUUUCAUUUGUUUGAAUAUGGAUUAUGCAUGGUUGCAAUUAUUGCAUCGAGCU